UAAUAUCUAUUUUAUUUUUCCUGUCUUACUAAAGAUUGGACUUCAUAAACACAGAGCGAGUAUUCUACUCCUGUACCACAUCUGUUCCUUUAAAACAAAUGUUUUUAGAAGCUGGAGAGAUGGCUCAGCAGUUAAGGAUAUGUACUAUUCUCUUCAGAACCUUAAUUCAGUUCCCAGUACCUACAUCAGGUGGUUCACAACCACCUGUACCUCCAACUCCAGGGGAACUGAAACCUUUUUCUGGCUUUCAUAGGCACUACACUCAUGAGCACAAUUCCUCAGAGCAUGGUGUGGAGACUAGACAAAUAGAAAUCCUGUAAACAAAACGAUAAUAUACUUUGCAUAAAAAGCAACAAAAUAUACAAACUUUUGGGCCAAACUCAGUGGAUACAAGACAAAUGAAUUGGAAUUCAGCACCAAAGAAGUCUCUUAAAGUUUCCUAACAGACAUAGAGAAACUAAAAACUUAAAUGAAAAAAAAAUAAACUAUAUAUCAUAGGAUGAAGGUUACAUAACACACACGUAUUGUGGGUCCCCAAAGAGAAACACAUAGAGGAAAUUGUGUGAAAUUAGCGAAGCAGGGAAGGAUUGAGCUCAGUUGUAUAGUGCUUACCUAAAAUUUGAGAGGCUUUAGGUUUAAGCCCAGCAUAACCGAGAUAAAGAAGGAAGAAAAAGAGGGAAGGAGAAAGAAAGGGAGGGAGGGAAAUAUGAGGAAUGAGGAAGGAAAAGAGAAGAAGGGAAGGACUGAGUGAAUAAAUGAGAAUUUCAUAACUUUUUUUUUUACAAUACCAAAGAAAUAGAACCCAAAAGAACACAUUGGAGUGAAAGUAUUUUAGAAUUUCUUAAUUUGCAGCUAACACUUUAACAGAAGUGAUGGAAACAGAAGUCAAUGGAAUAUCUCCAAGGUAAGAAAAAAAGUAUUUGUCGCCCUAAAAUCAUUAAGUCAUUCUAUCCAGCAAUACUCACCUCAAGAAUAAGAAGAUAUAUUUAUACUGUCUAACAACCCCCUUUGCUAUGUGACAUUUAAAAGUCUAGAGAAUAGUCAAUAACAAGAAAUUCCUAAUCUAGAUGUAAACACUGUUAACAUUUUGCCUUCCUUCUAUAUUUAUGAUUUGAACAAUUAAGAGCAUGUCUUCCUGUUAUCUAGGUAGUUGUACUCAGGCUACACAUUUUAAGCAAUAACACUUGUAGAUCAUGCUGCGUUCUUCAUGGGGUAUCAUGGAAGAAGGCAUGUAAGUUCUGACUGUUCCAUAAGCAUGUUGCCAUAUUUGGUCAAAAGGUUAUGAAUUUAACAGCUUUGUACAGUAAGAGGAAUUUACACUUUGUCAAUUUUAAACACAAAUUGUCUUUAGAUAACAUGUGCAGUCCCUAGGCUGCAUUUUACCUAGGCAUCUGUUCAUGAUCCUUAUGUGAGUCAAGUAUUUCAUUGGAAAUUGAAAAAUGGUUAUUUUUCCAAUUUCAUCAUUCUUACAACAAAUAAUUGCCGCUUUUCUCUUGUAAAAUAAUAUUUUCACUCAUCUACUAAAUUUGGCUUGAAGUAUAAUGUCUAUUGAAAAGGCAGCAUGAAUGUUUUAUCCUUUCCAAUUUUCAGCAUAAGGAGUUUGCAAAAUUACCAUUUCCAAUGGUGACAAAUAAUAAUUUUCACUGCCUUUUAAAAUGGUAUCAUUUUGGACUUGUGAAUUUUAUGAAUGUAAAAUGUUCUGAAUAGCAUGCUUCACUCACAAUUAUUAUUCCUUAUAGUUCUUUUUAUUACCACGAUUUUUUUCACUGCUGUAGAUCAGAGCCUUAUGCAUACAAGGCAAGUUCUCCAUCAUUCCAUCACUGAGCCCUUUGGGCUCUUUGGAUGUUUGCUUGCUUGCUUGUUUUAAGACAAGAUGUCACUAUGUAUUCCAGGCUGGCAUCAGUUUUGCAAAUAUAUAACUUGAAGCUCAUUGUGAGGAAGUAGUAUGUAAAUAUGUACUUAGGUACAACCCAAAACCAUCUGCCUUGUCAUCUUCAAAAAUGAAAGAGCUGUGAACACAAGGAGACAGAGGAAGUGUUCUGUACUAAGGAGACAGCAACACAAAGGAGGCUGAUAUGAAUGAUUCAUACACAUGUUUAUAGGCAUGCAAGAUCAUUCUUAUCUCCUGUCUUAUCAAAACCAUGACCAAGAAAACUUAUAAAGGAAAUAAGGCUUCCAAUUACAGAGAUUAGAGCCUAUGUCCACCAUAUUGGGGAGUAUGGUAGCAGGCAGACCGGCCUGGCACUGGAGCCGUAGCUGAGAGCUCAUAUCUUCAGAUACAACCGAGAGGCAGAGAGAGCUAACUGGAAAUGGCAUGAGUCACUUGACACUUCUAAAGUCCACCAAUAAUGACACAACUCCUCUGACAAGGCCACAUCCCCUAAUCCAGUGUUUCUCAACCUACGGGUUGUGACCAUCAGAAAACACAUAUUCCCUGUGGCUUUAGGAACUAAGAUUCGACUCAGUAGCAAAAUUACAGUUAUGAAGUAGCAACAAAAGUAAUUUUAGGGUUUGGGGUCAACACACCAUGAGGAAGAUGGCAGCAUUGGGAAAGUUAAGAGCCACUGUCCUAACCUUCCCCAAAAGUUCCACAAACAGGGGACAAAGUAUUCAAAUAUAUGAUCCUGUGGGGGCCAUUCUAAUUCAAACUGCCAAAGCUCCUUAUUUCUUUCACACUAUAGCCUGAUUUCCUAGAACUUCUGCGUACUCCCUUGUCAGCUCCUGCUUUCUGUACAGGCCCCAAAUGCAGUCACGUGAACUUCCUUCCAUUGCUCCAGUAUUCAUGCUCCUUAUUUUUUUUCUUUUUUCUUUUUUUUUUUUUUUUAAGUGAGGUUUGAGCAUGGCGAGUCCACUAGAAACUGAAAAGAUCACAAACAGAACACUCACUGACUGGGCCCAACUUGCCCUUGGCCCAGCUCUGUAGCAGGGCACAAUGCUACCUUGGCUCUUUCUUGAGUAACUCUAGGACUUACUGGGCAUUCCCUGCUCCUAGCCACUACAACCAGAGAUGAUGAGAUAGCAUGGUGUUAUCCCAAGGAAUAAUUCAGAUCCAAAUUUCAAAGAAUGGUUUUGACUGAAUAUAUAUCAUUAAGU
rnacentral:lncRNA from 1 species